UUCAAUGUAGCAAAAUAUAUGCGAUGGAUUUAGAAUUCAUAGAAGGUAAUACCCUUUGAAUC
rnacentral:tRNA from 1 species